AUGGAGCUUUGCCCCAUGCUCACUGCUUAUAUGGCUGUUUGCAUUAGAAAUGACCAUAAAUCAAUGAACAAUGAAAGGGAGGAUUUUGCGUAAAAUUGAAGGGCCCGCGAGGAGGAUACAGAAUUGUGCUGGAUACAGAAAAUAGAAUGCAAGAGGGAACUUGGAAUUUUUAGUGAGGAGUUCUGAGAACCUGGACUGGCAGUUGGGGGAGAGUGAGGUGUUCAGGAGGACACAGCUCCUGAACUGAGCUCUCUCCAGAUCGAUUGGAAAAUCUACUCAAAUCACCUACUUUGGUCCUGGUUGUUCCUGAUUGAUCCCAGACAUCUCAUUGACACCUAUUGACUUCCAAGAAGACAUUAACAGAGAAAAUGACAUGGACUUCUAAGUUACCUCAAGUGGGCUCAGCCUAGUCUGUGGUGAUUAGGCUAUUUCUGUCACCAUCCUCCUGAUUUAUCAACUAGCUCUGACCUUAAUUCAAAGAGUGUUUGGAUGGGCUUAGCCUAGUUUAGUUAGACAGGAAGGUGGGAAACUAGACAGAGAAGGUGGCAGAGUAGGUCCAACCAUGCUGGACACCAAAGAGAUCCCCUAGGAUCAGAGGAACUGGGAUGGAUAGAUUUGGGAAAAGAUUAGGGAUCUUCCUAGCACAGCAUCCUUCCCAAACUCCAGAAUACCAGCUUUAAUACAUCUACUUUUGUUUAACCUGAAAGUCAGAUCAAGUUUCUCAGUGAACUCCAGGUCUGAGGGUAUCCAUCUUGCUCUUAGUGCAGGGAGAAGCAGCUAAACAGAUUCAAGGCUCAACUAAUCUUAUCACUGGUCCAAAUUACCAUCUUGCAGCAGGAAUUCUUCAGCCCUUUCUCUGGCCACCAUCAUAUCCUGUCAGCCUGGGCCUGCCUAUACUGCCUGAAUCACUAAACACCAUUCCUGGGAACCAGCUCCCCAACUCCCUCUCAGGACCAUCCAAAGAACUUCAUCCAGGAAGCUUACCUUGGCCAGGGGCAAACAAAUGAGGCAACACAAAUUACCUCAUUCCUGAAAACCCCUAAUUCCUCCUACCCUAUAAGAGGUUAAACCUAUCUCCACUGAGGUGGAGAUUCAGCAGCCAUCUUUACUAGUGCUGAUCUCUCUCUCCUUUGCUACUCCUCUCUUCCAGCCCCCUCCCCACAGAGGAUUCCAUAGCCAUCUCCUGGUAUCAGUGUCGUCCACCUUGAUGCUCCUCUGGCACAUACUCCCCCUCCCCUUCCUCCAAUAAAGCUGUGCUAUACCACCUUA